UGUUAUGGAUUCCAUCUCUUUUGAUAUUUGAUAUAGAUUCCAUCUCUUUCUCUUUUUCUGGUGUUUGUCAUCGAUAAUUUUUGUUUUGAUAUUUUUUUAAACACAUUUAGUUUAAAAGUUUGCGUUGUGGAUGCUCAUGGUUUGUUUGAUAUUGCUGGAUCUCUUUUGAAAACCCUUUUAAUCUAUUGAUUUGCAGGAGGAUCUCAUGGUUCGUUUCAUGGCAACCUUAUAGUGAUAUGCAGUUUUAACAAUUUGUCCUCGACUAUCGAGCAACCAGAGCAACAGUAUCAUUCACAGCCAGUUAAACGUGUUAGAUCAAGGAAUUCCUCACUAAUAUGCCCUCUGGGAUCGAUGUAGCAAUGUGAAGGAUUCAUCACACAAUGAGUUUACUGGUGAUAGUGUGGUUGAGGUUGUUGUUGCAUCUGUGAAAGAAACCACAUCAACAAUGUGAAUAUCAUCAUUUUGGCCACACCAGGUUAUGUUGAUGUUAAAUCUCCUCCUAUACUUGGGGUGGUGAGUUCAGAAUACCAUGAUAAUGAGGAGAAAACGAAGAAGGAUUUUUCAAGGAUGGAACCUGUGAAUAUGAGUCUCUCGACGCUGUAAGUAGUAUGGUAGAUUUUAUCCCCUAUAGUAGCUUGAUUUGAUGGGUUAGCCAUUUUGGGGUAAAAAAAUAGUGUUGGUUGGUUCAUAAAAUGGUAAUCAUGUGGAUUGUGUGCUAUUCAUGCCUUUGAUGUUAAAAAGAAUCAUUUUAGGCUUGCAUCUUGAGUAGUAGUAUGGCCAGUUUUUAAUUUUCAACACAAGCAAUUGGAAUUCUUAUGUUUGACUGUUUUCUUGAUUAUUUGAUCUUCGGAACUUUGUGGGUAGUUUGUGUAUUUAGUGCAUAAUCUAUAAUUAUAUUCCUAUAUUCCGGCUUCGAACUGUCGAUCCCGCCGCAACGUGCGGGUUACCCACUAUUCUGUUUUAAUGUUGUUAAACGAAAAUUCUGAUUGUUUAAAAUCAUUUUAAUUUAUUCAUAAAUAGCUGAAGGAUGACAAAAUGUAGUAUGUUUCUCUAUAUUAUAUAACUGAAAAAUACGAUACUAACAGUUGAAUUUUUGAUUCAUGAACCAUCUUCAAAACUACCCUGAAUUUCGACUAAAUCCAGAAGAAGCUGAUGGAGAAGGGUGUCAAGAGGAGGUUCACGUGGUUUUUACACGAAUGGGCAGGAAAUAGAGACGGGCUAAAUGCCCGUGAAGCCGAUGGUACACUAAAGCCACUAAAGGAAUAUAAUGGUCCUUUGGAGGACAAUGGUCACCAGAUUGCUCCGGAUAUCGACCUCCCUGAAGGUUUCAUGAGUAAUGAAACUAUAGAUUUCUGGGAUGCAAUUUAUGAAGUAAGCGGGAAACCUUUCUGUGAUUCAGAGGAGUUAGCUUUAGGUA